rnacentral:rRNA from 1 species
UACGUAGGUGGCAAGCGUUGUCCGGAUUUACUGGGCGUAAAGAGCGCGCAGGCGGUCGUAUAAGUCGAAUGUGAAAGCCCCCCGGCUCAACUGGGGAGGGUCAUUCGAUACUGAUCGACUCGAAGGCAGGAGAGGGUAGUGGAAUUCCCGGUGUAGUGGUGAAAUGCGCAGAUAUCGGGAAGAACACCUAUGGCGAAGGCAGCUCUCUGGGACGGUACUGACGCUGAGACGCGAAAGCGUGGGGAGCGAACAGG